UGGGGAAUAUUGCGCAAUGGAGGAAACUCUGACGCAGCAACGCCGCGUGUGUGAUGAAGGCCCUAUGGGUUGUAAAGCACUGUUGAGAUAGGAAGAGCAAGCGGAGGCUAAUACCCUUCGUUCCGACGGUACUAUCUGAGGAAGCACCGGCCAACUCUGUGCCAGCAGCCGCGGUAAUACAGAGGGUGCAAGCGUUGUUCGGAAUUAUUGGGCGUAAAGCGUGCGUAGGCGGACGAAUAAGUCUGAUGUGAAAUCCCUUGGCUUAACCGAGGAGCUGCAUUGGAUACUGUUUGUCUUGAGUCUUGGAGAGGAUAGCGGAAUUCCCAGUGUAGAGGUGAAAUUCGUAGAUAUUGGGAGGAACACCAGUGGCGCAAGCGGCUAUCUGGACAAUGACUGACGC
rnacentral:rRNA from 1 species